GACGAACGCUGGCGGCGUGCUUAACACAUGCAAGUCGAACGGAAAGGCCCUGCUUUUGUGGGGUGCUCGAGUGGCGAACGGGUGAGUAACACGUGAGUAACCUGCCCUUGACUUUGGGAUAACUUCAGGAAACUGGGGCUAAUACCGGAUAGGAGCUCCUGCUGCAUGGUGGGGGUUGGAAAGUUUCGGCGGUUGGGGAUGGACUCGCGGCUUAUCAGCUUGUUGGUGGGGUAGUGGCUUACCAAGGCUUUGACGGGUAGCCGGCCUGAGAGGGUGACCGGCCACAUUGGGACUGAGAUACGGCCCAGACUCCGACGGGAGGCAGCAGUGGGGAAUAUUGCACAAGGGGCGGAAGCCGUAUGCAGCAACGCCGCGUGCUGGAUGAUGCCCUUCGGGUGGUAAACCGCUUUCGCCUGUGACGAAGCGUGAGUGACGGUAAUGGGUAAAGAAGCACCGGCUAACUACGUG
rnacentral:rRNA from 1 species